GACAGAGGUCCCAAGCGUUAGGCGGAAUCACUGGGCUUAAAGCGUGUGUAGGCGGGCCUGCAAGUACCUUGUGAAAUCCCACGGCUCAACUGUGGAACUGCUUGGUAUACUGCUGGUCUUGAGGCAUCUAGAGGCAACUGGAACAAACGGUGGAGCGGUGAAAUGCGUAGAUAUCGUUUGGAACGCCCAUGGUGAAAACAGGUUGCUGGGGAUGUACUGACGCUGAGACACGAAAGCCAGGGGAGCAAACGGG
rnacentral:rRNA from 1 species